CCCCCUGGCACUUGACAAACUCUUCAGCUUUGCUCCUCCUUUCUUCUCACUUUCAACUUCUAAACUCAAAACAAACUGUAUCAAUAUCGGAUCAUCACCAACCAAGCCAGCGAACUAGCUUUAGGCAGGAAAGAAAGAGACAGUACAGCAGAGUCUGCAGAGAUGUGUUUUGUGUUCUUAUGUGACGAAGAAGAGAAGGAGUUAGGCAGGCAACAAGCUUCAGGGUCAUGCCCUUACUGCGGAGGUAAAGUACAAGCGGUGGAUUUUGAAGGCCGGUGGAGGUUCUGUUUCUUGCCCAUAUGCUACAAGAUGAAGAGAAAAUAUUUUUGUACUUUAUGUUCCCGGCGGCUGGAAUUAUCUCCUUAAUAAGGACAAGGAGGUUGCUUUCUGAUUAUAGACCAAGAAAAUUAAGCUACUUGAUAGCUGAUUCCUAGAUGUCUUCUUUAUCUUGCAUGUCUUUCUUUGCUUCUUCUUUUUCCUUGUUAAUAUUUUUUUUCAUGUCUUUUGUUAUUAUGUUGUGAAGAGAGGGAUGGUUUCUUCAUAUGAUUAAAUGUAUAUUAUGGCACCUGUAUGAAGUGGUUAUGGAGAUUCUGUGUUCCUUGCGUUGAUCUACAGACCUUUGUUUUUCUCCAUGAGAAAGAGAGAAAAUCUGAAAUGGGUUUCUUCUUCGUUGGGUCGAGGGGAAAUGGGAUGUUCGAAACAUCUUGUGGGACGUUCUAUCUCUUUGAUUUCUAAGAUUAACUCCUACAAAGGGCCUAUGCUGUGAUUAGAGCAGGCUGCUACUUGGAUAAAGAAUUGAUAUUUGAUAGAAAACCCAGCUUUAGAUUAACAGAGUUUCUGUCGAGGAAAAGAAAAGAAAGGAUUGAUGAAGUUUUGGAUUGGGAUACGAGGGGCUAAAUGUGUAAUUGCGUGCACUCUACCAAAUAUACAUAUAAUAUGUUAUGUUUUUGCCUUUUGUUUUCUCCUGGUUUGAUAUAGGACUGU
rnacentral:lncRNA from 1 species